CGAACGGGUGAGUAAUGCUUCGGAAUCUACCCAAAUGGUGGGGAAUAACCAGCCGAAAGGUUGGCUAAUACCGCAUAAGUCCUACGGGAGAAAGCAGGGGAUCGUAAGACCUUGCGCCGAUGGAUGAGCCGAAGCCGGAUUAGCUAGUUGGUGAGGUAACGGCUCACCAAGGCGACAAUCCGUAGCUGGUCUGAGAGGACGACCAGCCACACUGGGACUGAGACACGGCCCAG
rnacentral:rRNA from 1 species